rnacentral:rRNA from 1 species
GACGAACGCUGGCGGCGUGCCUAAUACAUGCAAGUCGAACGCAGUGGGGACGGGUGAGUAACACGUGGGUAACCUCCCAUCAGAGGGGAUAACACUUGGAAACAGGUGCUAAACCGAUACUGAUGGAUGGACCCGCGGUGCAUUAGCUAGUUGGUGAAGUAACGGCUCACCAAGGCCACGAUGCAUAGCAGACCUGAGAAGGUGAUCGGCCACACGGGGACUGAGGCACGGCCCAGGAUCCUACAAAGGUCAACAGUAGGGAAUCUGGGGCAAUUGACGAAAGUCUGACCGCGCAACACAGCGAGGGUGAAGAAGGUUUGCGGAUCGUAAAACUCUGUUGAUAAAGAAGCGGUAUCUAACCAGAAAGCCUCGGAUAACUGCGUACCAGCAGCCGCGGUAAUUC